CCUACGGGAGGCAGCAGUGGGGAAUAUUGGACAAUGGGGGCAACCCUGAUCCAGCCAUGCCGCGUGUGUGAAGAAGGCCCUCGGGUUGUAAAGCACUUUCAGUGAGGAAGAACGCCUGGUGGUUAAUACCCAUCAGGAAAGAUAUCACUCACAGAAGAAGCACCGGCUAACUCCGUGCCAGCAGCCGCGGUAAUACGGAGGGUGCGAGCGUUAAUCGGAAUUACUGGGCGUAAAGCGCGCGUAGGUGGCUUGAUAAGCCGGUUGUGAAAGCCCCGGGCUCAACCUGGGAACGGCAUCCGGAACUGUCAAGCUAGAGUGCAGGAGAGGAAGGUAGAAUUCCCGGUGUAGCGGUGAAAUGCGUAGAGAUCGGGAGGAAUACCAGUGGCGAAGGCGGCCUUCUGGACUGACACUGACACUGAGGUGCGAAAGCGUGGGUAGCAAACAGGAUUAGAUACCCGUGUAGUC
rnacentral:rRNA from 1 species